rnacentral:rRNA from 1 species
AAAGGAAUUGACGGGGGCCCGCACAAGCAGCGGAGCAUGUGGUUUAAUUCGAAGCAACGCGAAGAACCUUACCAGGUCUUGACAUCCCCUGACGACCCUAGAGAUAGGGAGUUCCCUUCGGGGACAGGGAGACAGGUGGUGCAUGGUUGUCGUCAGCUCGUGUCGUGAGAUGUUGGGUUAAGUCCCGCAACGAGCGCAACCCUUGUAUUUAGUUGCCAUCAGGUAAUGCUGGGCACUCUAGAUAGACUGCCGUAGACAAUACGGAGGAAGGUGGGGAUGACGUCAAAUCAUCAUGCCCCUUAUGACCUGGGCUACACACGUGCUACAAUGGCCUGAACAAAGGGAAGCGAGAUAGCAAUAUGGAGCAAAUCCCAAAAAACAGGUCUCAGUUCGGAUUGCAGGCUGCAACUCGCCUGCAUGAAGUCGGAGUUGCUAGUAAUCGCAGAUCAGAAUGCUGCGGUGAAUGCGUUCCCGGGCCUUGUACACACCGCCCGU